CACCCGGGAGGGGCCAUCCCGAAGUCGGGCAGCCAGACAGCGUCCGGGCAGGGAUUCCGGCUCUGGUCUCUGUCACCUCCGGGCGGCCUCACCACCUUUAGUGCCAGGGAUUAAAACGUCUCUUCCUCAGCCAGGGUCCUGCACACGCCCACUGCCCGUUAACCUGCCAGCGUCUUUAGCCCCGGAAGCCGACUGGGUGAGAGAACAGAGAGAGGCGUGCUCCCCAUUGGCCGAGCCAGCCCGUGUUCUGUCUCUGAGGAGCCGCAGGGUUCUCCCUGGAGGAGGCGGCUGCGUAUAGAGACACAGAGACGAGGAAGGCGCGGGCGUGCGCUCGCGGGAGGAAAACCACGCGCCCCUGUGGAAGGCAGAAAGACCCUCAGUCCUGCAACAGCAGAAGCCGACAGCGGCUCCCUUCCAGCCUGGCCCACGCCGCGCUAGCUACGGCCUCCAUCCAGCAGCCUGUGCGUGGGGACACAGGUACCCACAUCAGGGGCCUGCCGUGGGCCCUGCGAGGAACACCCGGGAAGAACUCAGGGCAGAUCCACACGGGGAGCACGAGCGUGGUCACAUCAGUGUCUACCAGCGAGCACAAGCGCCAAGCACCGCCCUGGACGGUUUCCAAAGCAAGGACUGAGUCUCCCGCUGUAGAGCAACUAGGAGACGGGACAGACAGGGCGGUGAUAAAGGACACAGAGGCGACACAGGACAGGUGACACAGGACACAGCAGUGACACAGCAGUGACACAGGACAGGUGACACAGGACACAGCAGUGACACAGAAGUGACACAGGACACGGAGGUGACACAGGACAUGGAGGUGAUACAGGACACGGCAGUGACACAGGACACAGAGGUGACACAGGACAGAGGUGACAUAGGACAUGGUGAUGACACAGGGCACAGAGGUGACACAGGACAUGGAGGUGACACAGACACGGAGGUGACACACAGAGGUGACACAGGACAUGGCAGUGAUGAAGGACAAAGGAGGUGAGACAGGACAUGGUGAUGACACAGGACAUGGAGGUAACACAGGACAUGGUGAUGAUAUAGGACAUGGAGGUGGCACAGGACUUGGAGGUGACAGGACACAGAGGUGACACAGGACAUGGAGGUGACACAGCACUCAGGACACAGCGGCGACACUCAGGCCCUGGGCAACAGGCAGUGCAGGACUGUGGUCCUGGAGCAUGGGCACCACCAGGGACAGCACGAAGCCUGCCCUGCAGUCACCCUGAGCAGGGAAAGGGGGCGGCAGCAGCGUUAGCUGAGCACUUACUGUGUGCCUGGCAUAGGCCGAGCACUUCAUACAGGUUAUCUGCCGUAUCUUCAUUAUAUAAAAGGAAUCUUAAGAGGCCUAUAACCUGUGGCCAAUGCAACUCUGAGCCCAUGCUGGUGACCACCGGGCCACACCCACUGCCCACACAGGCCUGGAUCUCGCUCUCUCCAUGUGCAGUCCCUAGCCGGGGGUCCAGGGGUGGUCCUGAUCCCCAGGGGGCAGCACUGCAGGACAACGGGUGGUCCCGGUCCAGCCCAGAGCAGCACA